rnacentral:lncRNA from 1 species
CGGCGCGCCGGCCGCCGCGGCGGGCGGUGACUGAUGGAUCAGCACCGGUGGCGAUCAGCGUGUGGUGAUUGGCGGUGCCGUUGUGUUCCGUUCCUCCCUCCGGUCAUCACGGCGGCGCCAACCAGCUGCAUCGGCGGGGCAGCGGUCGGAGGGUCCUCCGCAAUGGCAGCGGAAACUUCGCGACGGCGAUGGCGAAAGCGAGGACGAAAGUGAUUGGAUACCAGAGUCAAUGAGAAGAGAGAGAUGAGCAAAAGUGGAGAGCAGGAGUGAGGAAGAGAAGAAAAACCUAGAAAUUAAUUCGAAAGGAGGGAAUUCUCCCAUCGAGCUUGGCCAGGAUCCAUCCACCGCCGCUCUGGUGAUCCAGAGAACAGUCGGCGCCGCCUCCUGCGACGGCGACGGCGGUGUACUCCAGGACAUGACUCGGCGAAGGUAACGCGCAGACCGACCUACCUUCUGGCACCUCUUCCUGAGACGCUCCUCCGAGUCUGCGAUGCUUCUCGCCACGCUGCGGAGGUUCGACGUGACGGCGGGGGCGGCGGCCGAGAAGCGCGCGGGCAAUUGAGAUUCGAGAAUGAUCUGCAGUCGCCAGGUAUUUAUAGAUAAAAUCUUAUUGUGUUCAGCCUGAUAUGCUGAAAGAUUUAAUGGCGAGCUCUGUUUGUUUCCCUUUUCUCGUGUCCAAUUGAUCCGGGAAGGCUCUCCCCAGGAAUCUGAGGAAUCAGGAAACCGAU